CAUUUUCCUCAUAUUAUUUGCUGAGCAAUUCUCGAUUACAAAAAAAUGGGUCACUUGUGGAAGAAAGAAGUCCUUUUCUAGUUGGACAACUUGUUUAGAAAUUGAAAAGUGUUCAAGCAGAGACUGGUUGACUACUUGCAAACUGUGGGAGGAAUUCCUAUACCAUGGUAUAAAACCAGAUGACUUUCAAGGUUUCUGCCAUUCAUGAAUCCAGAAGAACGGGAGGUGAAGAGGAGGAUGAGGAGGAAGAGGGGAACCAAAAGAAAGGAGACAGGAGAGGAAGAGGAAGAAGGAGAAGACAACUCAAGGGAUCAGGAAUGGGAACUUGCAGUCCAGUGAGUUCCAGGAGGGCACAGCAGUGGACAAAACCGCGAAAAAAAUCUGCCUUCAUGGACCCGAGGUGUCUGGAAGGCAGAUUCUUUCUGUGUCCAACCUGUUUGUGUGUGAACGUCCCAGCAAGGCACCCAGGGAAAGAGAGGGGUUUAUUCAUUCUACAAAUAUGUACUGAACGCUUCACAGAUGGCAGACUCUGUGGGAUGCUGGGGAUAUGGAAUGAAUCCUUGCCUUCAAGGAGCUCAUGAUCUCCUGGGGAGAGCUCUAUAUCCACUGAGACAUUUGCAGCUCCGUGUGUGGGAGGAAUACCCAAGCUACCUUGGCAACAAAGUGGUGGGGAGUGUUGGGAGUUUGCUUCUGCUUGGAAAUAGAUUUGGUGAUCUUGGAGGACCGUGACGGGAAUUCAAAGCCCGGUUCAGGUCACUAGCAUGAGUGAAAGAUUCUGCCUGGGCAGCGGGUACCUAAGGUUCAGCUCUAUGCUCUAGGGCACUGGGAAGAGUCUGUUCUCCAAAACCUGUCCCCUUACCCUUUUGUCUGCUCUCUCAGCACCGGUAUGUCAUUGUUAGAAAUUCAUUUCAUUGCCUCAAUACACUUUUGUUAUUUUGCAUAGCAAGCUAUUGUAUGAAAAGAUAUUUUACAAAUAAAUUCUUUAUCAUUUAAUUUGUAACUGUAUAAUGUUUUGGCAAGAACUACAUCCCCCAAAUGUCUUGUUGACAAAAACAUAUAAAUAUCUGACAUCCUGAGAGACAUAAUAGAAUUCUACAUAUGGAUGUAAGCUGUCUUUGUUAUUGUUUUCUUCUUCAUGCUUUUCCGAGUUGUGAAGAGGAUUGUAGGGAAAAGAGCUGCAGAUGAGGGAGCAGCUUCAGCUGGAAGGAGGUGGGAAAUGGUGUCCCGCAGGUGGGGAGGGGGCACCAAGAUACAGAUGAGGAGACCUCUUCCAUCAACAUUGCUCUGGAACUCUAUGGAAUAUUUUCCUCCUUCUCGAGUGAUCAUUAUAUUGACACAAUGAAGCAAAUAAGACACAAAAAACAAAAAACCAAAGACUCUGUAUUCACCCAGUAAUGGUGUUUUGUGCUUACUACUUGCCAGGCACUGUGCUGGGCACCAGGAGCAUGGCCUGAAGCAUCCAUUAAAGACAGUAGGUUGUGACUGCUUAGAGUGUUUGUUCUACCCAGAGGGGUGAAAUGAUGGUUUGUGAAACCUAAGCCCAACUCACUGAGGGCAUGUUACUAGAGGUUUGGCUUCCAAGAUGAUUUAAAAUCAUGUUUCCAAGUCCUGUCUUAAGAGGCACUUGAGCUUGUAAAGAUUUUAGAUGGGGGAAGCCACACAUUAAAGCUGGAAAAUUUUACUGCUUA